GGUGCGUCAUUACUGUUGUGGGGAGCCAGGCGUCCACAGCGUUUCCGUACCUGCCCAGGCCUCUCGGCGCAGACGCAGACGACCACCAUGGACGUCCUCCCUGCUGGUAUCUUGCUGUUGGUGUUCGUGUCAUGUUGCGAAACAGCAACACGCGUCACACGAGCCGCCAGGUAUAUGCCGGCCGUGAUCCAUCAAGGACGCGAGGGCGAAUGCUACGUUUCAGACCUGAACGACUACUUGAAACCUGGAACCACCCGCUAUGGAAGAGGAUGUUGGAUCGUGCGCUGCGAAGAGAACGAUGGUCGCCUUUACGAAUCAUUCACAUCGUGUGGGGUAUUUGCCGUUCCCGAAGGCUGCACCGAAACCUUGCCCCAUCGCUUCGCCGUGUUUCCGGAAUGCUGUAAAACCCACGGCUACACGUGCGCAGUGGGCAAAUAGGUCAGGUCGCUGCGUGAUCGUUGACGUGCUAUGAUCAAGCAGAUACCACCUAAGACGGCAAGGAGAUUUGGAAUGUCGCAUCUCAUGCGCACAAGUGCGCUUUGUUUUGAAGACAACCUGUAAGCUAAGACCUCAGUGCACUGUAUGUGCACUGAGGUCUCGUGGUUUUUCCUUGCAUGCUUGUUCUGUGCCUUUCGUUACCGAAUACACUUCCUACCGAAUGUA